rnacentral:rRNA from 1 species
GACGAACGCUGGCGGCGUGCCUAAUACAUGCAAGUCGAGCGAUGAUUAAAGAUAGCUUGCUAUUUUUAUGAAGAGCGGCGAACGGGUGAGUAACGCGUGGGAAAUCUGCCGAGUAGCGGGGGACAACGUUUGGAAACGAACGCUAAUACCGCAUAACAAUGAGAAUCGCAUGAUUCUUAUUUGAAAGAAGCAAUUGCUUCACUACUUGAUGACCCCGCGUUGUAUUAGCUAGUUGGUAGUGUAAAGGACUACCAAGGCGAUGAUACAUAGCCGACCUGCGACGGUGAUCGGCCACACUGGGACUGAGACACGGCCCAGACUCCUACGGGAGGCAGCAGUAGGGAAUCUUCGGCAAUGGGGGCAACCCUGACCGAGCAACGCCGCGUGAGUGAAGAAGGUUUUCGGAUCGUAAAACUCUGUUGUUAGAGAAGAACGUUAAGUAGAGUGGAAAAUUACUUAAGUGACGGUAUCUAACCAGAAAGGGACGGCUAACUACGUGCCAGCCGCCGCGGUAA